UCUGGAAGAGUAAUUGAUAAACGACCCGGCAGCAUUUUGUAACGUAAUAUAUUGUGGUCCAGAAGAUAAAUUAAUGCAGGUUGCCAUCCUUCCCCCGUUGGGUAGGUCCUGCAUCGUCGUAGUAACUUCAAAAUCUAGUUUUACAACUCUUCAGUGACUUGAGUCCAGUGAGACAGUGAUACAUAAACAAAACUCAUCUUUACCAGAAAAGAUGGUUGCAGAAAUAUUAUCUGGGAAAGAAGUGGCUCAGG